rnacentral:rRNA from 1 species
CCUACGGGUGGCAGCAGUGGGGAAUAUUGCACAAUGGGGGAAACCCUGAUGCAGCGAAGCCGCGUGAGUGAAGAAGGAUUUCGGGAUGUAAAGCUCUAUCAGCAGGGAAGAAAAUGACGGUACCUGAUUAAGAAGCCCCGGCUAACUACGUGCAAGCAGCCGCGGUAAUACGUAGGGGGCAAGCGUUAUCCGGAUUUAAUGGGGGGAAAGGGAGCGUAGAGGGCAGCACAAGUCUGGCGUGAAAUGCCGGGGCUUAACCCCGGAACUGCUUUGGAAACUGUGGAGCUAGAGUGCAGGAGAGGUAAGUGGAAUUCCUAGUGUAGCGGUGAGAGGCGUAGAUAUUAGGAGGAACACCAGUGGCGAAGGCGGCUUACUGGACUGUAACUGACGUUGAGGCUCGAAAGCGUGGGGAGCAAACAGGAUUAGAUACCCGGGUAGUC